GCUCUCGUAGUUUAGUGGUGCGUAAAGCCAAAGGUCCCGGGUUCGAUUCCCGGCGGGGGUG
rnacentral:tRNA from 1 species